UCCCUACAAUUAUCGCAACACCAUAACCUGACAACUUAUAUUGUAUCUGUUCUAGCUGCCUUAGUUGCAGAUUAGUAUUCUUAAUUGUUAUCAUUUUUGCAAUGUUUACAUGGAAUUCUGCUUACUUGAAGGGUGUAUUUCUAUACAUACCUUGACUUACAACACCAGGCAAGUUUCAUAUAACAUGUUAAUACCUUGAUUUAAGGACUACUCUGCCCAAUACUUCAGUAAAAAUGUGAUGAUUAUGAUAACACACAUAUUUUACUGUGGUCUACAAAGCUGACCAGCAGAAGGAAGAAGAAAUGAUCUCAGCAAUGGUUACUUCUACAUCCAGAAUAUGGUCAAGUACUCUUAUGGGCUCAUAAACAAAACUAGAGAAACAGUUUUACUACAUAUAAAACACUCAAUAUUGAACUAAUUUUCUGGAAUUUAUGAAGAGAUUUCAAAAAAAUUAACUUUACAUGCACUACCACGCUGAAUGGGUACAAGUCCACCUGCGCCAGUUACACGCAAAUAAUCAGUACUCGGACUGCCAAUAUGUGCGCAACUUACAUGCGGGUUUAAACAAAGUGAUGCCAGCGUUCCUUGCCCUCAUUGUCAUAAAAAUUCUGAAUCCUCUACGACUGCGUCUCGCUUUCAUUCUGUCUGAGUUGUUAAUUCGGGCUACGCGCAAGUGCACAGCUUGCAUUCGCAGAAGAUUUUAUCAAGCAUAACCAUUUUACACAUGACUAGUUUAUAUCUGUCAAUAUUGCGAUUAUUGCAGUAAUUAUACAAUAUUUACACCCUUA